GGCAGCUCACCGUCGACACUCGACGCCCGUGUACCUGCAACCAAAGACCAAGCGCACGAUCACACCGCACGGUUGACAAUUCACUCAUCACAAGCAGGAUAGAGUACUCAACAUUUCUCAGUCAUCCUCCUGGAUAUCGUUGGCCUCAGUAUGUGCAGAUCUAAACCUCCUGAACACCACCACCCUAAGUAUGAAUGGGCUUGGGAGGCUUGGGAAGCAGGACUAACAGAGGAGUUGUUUGAUCCGUCAUUGUUUGACGGGUCUCAGGGAAUGGAGAUCAUUAGAAGGUGGGUGCAGGUAGGACUGCUGUGCGUUGAGGAAAAACAGGGCAGACCGGCCCACCAUUGCGGAUGUUCUUGAGAUGCUAAAUGGCAAGAAAGAGUUGCCGACACCAAGGAAAAUAGCCUACUACGUGCCUGGUCAGACGGAUCGUUGAGCCCCCGUCUCCUCGCUAGCUUGUAUUACGCCACUGCUCUUGGCAUUACUACAAUAUCAUGUGCCUCAUCAUUCUUCUAUUUUCAAAUUACAUGUUGAAGAAAACCACUCGAGGAGUGUUAAUCAACAAAUUCCAGUGCGGCCUCUGCGAACACGAAUUUGUCAACUCGGUGUGAAGAACAAAGAUACAAGCUUCACCAA